GAGGUAUUUUGGAUUUUUUCCAUGUUGUAGGAAAUGUUUCGAAACUGAAUGAUUCUCAUAGCCUUUUAGGCUAAAAGGCUAUGAGAAUCAUUCAGUUUCGAAACAUUUCCUACAACAUGGAAAAAA